rnacentral:tRNA from 1 species
UAAUAAAGCUUGUUAGCAAAUUCAUUGUUACUGAAUAGAAGAAUAAA